CCUCUUGUCAAGAACUUAUUCUGUGACCUGCGUGACAUUUAGCCACAUCACAGUCUGAGUUCUUGCUGAGCGU
rnacentral:pre_miRNA from 15 species